CCUACGGGCGGCAGCAGUGAGGAAUAUUGGUCAAUGGACGAGAGUCUGAACCAGCGAAGUAGCGUGAAGGAUGACUGCCCUAUGGGUUGUAAACUUCUUUUAUAUGGGAAUAAAACAGGGUAUGCAUACCCUCUUGUAUGUACCAUAUGAAUAAGGAUCGGCUAACUUCGCGACAGCAGCCGCGGUAAGACGGAGGAUCCGAGCUGUAUCCGGAUUUAUUGGGUUGAAAGGGAGUGUAGGGCGAUUGUUAAGUCAGUUGUGAAAGUUUGCGGCUCAACCGUACAAUUGCAGUUGAUACUGGCAGUCUUGAGUACAGUAGAGGUGAGCGGAAUUCGUGGUGUAGCGGUGAAAUGCGUAGAUAUCACGAAGAACUCCGAUUGCGAAGGCAGCUCACUGGACUGCAACUGACACUGAUGCUCGAAAGUGUGGGUAUCAAACAGGAUUAGAUACCCCAGUAGUC
rnacentral:rRNA from 1 species